UAUCACUACAGUCCAACCUGAAUAUGCCUAAUCUCAUCUGAGCUCGGAAGCUAAGCAGGGUCAGGCCUGGUUAAUACUUGGAUGGGAGACCCAUACCCUUGUUAAUGUGAAAA
rnacentral:rRNA from 1 species